UACGUAGGGGGCAAGCGUUGUCCGGAAUCAUUGGGCGUAAAGAGCGUGUAGGCGGUCCGGUAAGUCGGCUGUGAAAGUCCAGGGCUCAACCCUGGGAUGCCGGUCGAUACUGCCCGGGCUAGAGUCCGGAAGAGGCGAGUGGAACUCCUGGUGUAGCGGUGGAAUGCGCAGAUAUCAGGAAGAACACCGACGGCGAAGGCAGCUCGCUGGGACGGUACUGACGCUGAGGCGCGAAAGCGUGGGGAGCGAACAGG
rnacentral:rRNA from 1 species